rnacentral:rRNA from 1 species
CGGGCGACGCGCCGGUCUAAGUCCCUUGGAACGGGGCGUCAUAGAGGGUGAGAAUCCCGUACGAGACCGGUGACCGAGCCUAUGUGAAACUCCUUCGACGAGUCGAGUUGUUUGGGAAUGCAGCUCAAAAUGGGUGGUAAAUUUCAUCUAAAGCUAAAUACCGGCCAGAGACCGAUAGCGCACAAGUAGAGUGAUCGAAAGAUGAAAAGCACUUUGGAAAGAGAGUCAAAAAGUACGUGAAAUUGUUGAAAGGGAAGCGCUUGCAACCAGACCUGCCCGUGGGUGAUCAACCGUCCUUCUGGGCGGUGCACUCGCCCGCGAUCAGGCCAGCAUCGGUUCGGGCGGCCGGAUAAAGGCCUUGGGAACGUAGCUCCUCUCGGGGAGUGUUAUAGCCCUCGGUGUAAUGCGGCCAGCCUGGACCGAGGACCGCGCUUCGGCUAGGAUGCUGGCGUAAUGGUUGUAAGCGGCCCGUCUUGAAACACGGACCAAGGAGUCUAACAUCUAUGCNAGUGUUUGGGUGUCAAACCCAUACGCGUAAUGAAAGUGAACGGAGGUGGGAACCCCUCUGGGGCGCACCAUCGACCGAUCCAGAUGUCUUCGGAUGGAUUUGAGUACGAGCAUAACUGUUGGGACCCGAAAGAUGGUGAACUAUGCCUGAAUAGGGUGAAGCCAGAGGAAACUCUGGUGGAGGCUCGCAGCGGUUCUGACGUGCAAAUCGAUCGUCAAAUUUGGGCAUAGGGGCGAAAGACUAAUCGAACCAUC